UUCAUAAGCCCUGUUGACGGUAGGUGCACUUGAUUCAGAAGCCCUGUUGACGGUAGGUGCACUUGAUUCAGAAGCCCUGUUGACGGUAGGUGCACUUGAUUCAGAAGCCCUGUUGACGGUAGGUGCACUUGAUUCAGAAGCCCUGUUGACGGUAGGUGCACUUGAUUCAGAAGCCCUGUUGACGGUAGGUGCACUUGAUUCAGAAGCCCUGUUGACGGUAGGUGCACUUGAUUCAGAAGCCCUGUUGACGGUAGGUGCACUUGAUUCAGAAGUCCUGUUGACGGUAGGUGCACUUGAUUCAGAAGCCCUGUUGACGGUAGGUGCACUUGAUUCAGAAGCCCUGUUGACGGUAGGUGCACUUGAUUCAGAAGUCCUGUUGACGGUAGGUGCACUUGAUUCAGAAGUCCUGUUGACGGUAGGUGCACUUGAUUCAGAAGCCCUGUUGACGGUAGGUGCACUUGAUUCAGAAGUCCUGUUGACGGUAGGUGCACUUGAUUCAGAAGUCCUGUUGACGGUAGGUGCACUUGAUUCAGAAGCCCUGUUGACGGUAGGUGCACUUGAUUCAGAAGUCCUGUUGACGGUAGGUGCACUUGAUUCAGAAGCCCUGUUGACGGUAGGUGCACUUGAUUCAGAAGCCCUGUUGACGGUAGGUGCACUUGAUUCAGAAGCCCUGUUGACGGUAGGUGCACUUGAUUCAGAAGUCCUGUUGACGGUAGGUGCACUUGAUUCAGAAGUCCUGUUGACGGUAGGUGCACUUGAUUCAGAAGCCCUGUUGACGGUAGGUGCACUUGAUUCAGAAGUCCUGUUGACGGUAGGUGCACUUGAUUCAGAAGCCCUGUUGACGGUAGGUGCACUUGAUUCAGAAGCUCUGUUGACGGUAGGUCUGUAGCUAAAUUGAGUGCCGCUGGCCAAUCGGAUAGCUCAAAUCACUGUGUGAUACUAGCCUACAGCUUCCACGAUCCCUGCCACAGCAAGGUUUGAUACUAGCCUACAGCUUCCACGAUCUCGGCCACAGCAAGGUUUGAUACUAGCCUACAGCUUCCACGAUCCCUGCCACAGCAAAGUUUGAUACUAGCCUACAGCUUCCACGAUCCCUGCCACAGCAAGGUUUGAUACUAGCCUAAAGCUUCCACGAUCCCUGCCACAGCAAGGUUUGAUACUAGCCUACAGCUUCCACGAUCCCGGCCACAGCAAGGUUUGAUACUAGCCUACAGCUUCCACGAUCCCUGCCACAGCAAGGUUUGAUACUAGCCUACAUAAGAUCUCAUAACUUUUAAACCAUGAUCAGAGAACGGACUACAGCAAAGAGCUGCUGUUUUUAUGAGUGAAUUCAUGUUUAAGUUUUUAUUCACUACUGUCAACACUGUUUUAAUUCAUUACUGUCAACACUGUUUUUAUUCACUACUGUCAACACUGUUUAUAUUCAUUACUGUCAACAC